GACUUCUCCGGUGGCCUAAUGGUUAGUGCGUUCUCCGAUGAAGAGGGAGAUGGUGGGUUCGAACCCCAGCCGAGUCA